rnacentral:rRNA from 1 species
GACGGAGGAUGCAAGCGUUAUCCGGAAUGAUUGGGCGUAAAGCGUCCGCAGGUGGCAGUUCAAGUCUGCUGUCAAAGACCGGGGCUUAACUUCGGAAAGGCAGUGGAAACUGAACAGCUAGAGUAUGGUAGGGGCAGAGGGAAUUCCUGGUGUAGCGGUGAAAUGCGUAGAGAUUGGGAAGAACACCGGUGGCGAAAGCGCUCUGCUGGGUCAUAUCUGACACUGAGGGACGAAGGCUAGGGGAGCGAAAGGG